AGGUGUCUUCCUCUACUCGGAUCUGGCUGUCGAUUUUUUUCUACACUUUUAGGUGUAUUUUGUGCAAGAAAUUGCAAUAAAAUAGUCCGCCUAAGAAAAAUUGAAUUUUUUUGGGAACUUUUUUAUUUUUUUGGAUUUAUGGGUUGGAUGACUUUUUGGUGGUAAUAGGUGUCUUCCUCUACUCGGAUUUGGCUGUCGAUUUUUUUCUACACUUUUAGGUGUAUUUUGUGCAAGAAAUUGCAAUAAAAUAGUCCGCCUAAAAAAAAUUGAAUUUUUUUGGGAACUUUUUUAUUUUUUUGGAUUUAUGGGUUGGAUGACUUUUUGGUGGUAAUAGGUGUCUUCCUCUACUCGGAUUUGGCUGUCGAUUUUUUUCUACACUUUUAGGUGUAUUUUGUGCAAGAAAUUGCAAUAAAAUAGUCCGCCUAAGAAAAAUUGAAUUUUUUUGGGAACUUUUUUAUUUUUUUGGAUUUAUGGGUUGGAUGACUUUUUGGUGGUAAUAGGUGUCUUCCUCUACUCGGAUUUGGCUGUCGAUUUUUUUCUACACUUUUAGGUGUAUUUUGUGCAAGAAAUUGCAAUAAAAUAGUCCGCCUAAGAAAAAUUGAAUUUUUUUGGGAACUUUUUUAUUUUUUUGGAUUUAUGGGUUGGAUGACUUUUUGGUGGUAAUAGGUGUCUUCCUCUACUCGGAUUUGGCUGUCGAUUUUUUUCUACACAUUUAGGUGUAUUUUGUGCAAGAAAUUGCAAUAAAAUAGUCCGCCUAAGAAAAAUUGAAUUUUUUUGGGAACUUUUUUAUUUUUUUGGAUUUAUGGGUUGGAUGACUUUUUGGUGGUAAUAGGUGUCUUCCUCUACUCGGAUUUGGCUGUCGAUUUUUUUCUACACUUUUAGGUGUAUUUUGUGCAAGAAAUUGCAAUAAAAUAGUCCGCCUAAGAAAAAUUGAAUUUUUUUGGGAACUUUUUUAUUUUUUUGGAUUUAUGGGUUGGAUGACUUUUUGGUGGUAAUAGGUGUCUUCCUCUACUCGGAUUUGGCUGUCGAUUUUUUUCUACACUUUUAGGUGUAUUUUG